rnacentral:rRNA from 1 species
GAUGAACGCUGGCGGCGUGCCUAAUACAUGCAAGUCGAGCGAACAGACGAGGAGCUUGCUCCUCUGACGUUAGCGGCGGACGGGUGAGUAAAACGUGGAUAACCUACCUAUAAGACUGGGAUAACUUCGGGAAACCGGAGCUAAUACCGGAUAAUAUAUUGAACCGCAUGGUUCAAUAGUGAAAGACGGUUUUGCUGUCACUUAUAGAUGGAUCCGCGCCGCAUUAGCUAGUUGGUAAGGUAACGGCUUACCAAGGCGACGAUGCGUAGCCGACCUGAGAGGGUGAUCGGCCACACGGGAACUGAGACACGGUCCAGACUCCUACGGGAGGCAGCAGUAGGGAAUCUUCCGCAAUGGGCGAAAGCCUGACGGAGCAACGCCGCGUGAGUGAUGAAGGUCUUCGGAUCGUAAAACUCUGUUAUUAGGGAAGAACAAAUGUGUAAGUAACUAUGCACGUCUUGACGGUACCUAAUCAGAAAGCCACGGCUAACUACGUG